rnacentral:rRNA from 1 species
GAUGAACGCUGGCGGCGUGCCUAAUACAUGCAAGUCGAGCGAAUGGAUUAAGAGCUUGCUCUUAUGAAGUUAGCGGCGGACGGGUGAGUAACACGUGGGUAACCUGCCCAUAAGACUGGGAUAACUCCGGGAAACCGGGGCUAAUACCGGAUAACAUUUUGAACCGCAUGGUUCGAAAUUGAAAGGCGGCUUCGGCUGUCACUUAUGGAUGGACCCGCGUCGCAUUAGCUAGUUGGUGAGGUAACGGCUCACCAAGGCAACGAUGCGUAGCCGACCGGAGAGGGUGGUGGGCCACACUGGAGCUGAGAAACGGCCCGGACCCCUACGGGAGGCAGCAGUAGGGAAUCUUCCGCAAUGGACGAAAGUCUGACGGAGCAACGACGCGUGAGUGAUGAAGGCUUUCGGGUCGUAAAACUCUGUUGUUAGGGAAGAACAAGUGCUAGUUGAAUAAGCUGACACCUUGACGGUACCUAACCAGAAAGCCACGGCUAACUACGUGCCAGCCGCCGCCGUAA